rnacentral:misc_RNA from 1 species
AGUUCAACUUCAACUCAGCUGGGUUCGUCGUUCAAAACUUUCAUUGUUCAAGCAUCCCAGUUGUGUUCAAGUACUUCAAAAUUCAAAAAACAAUUUCCAAGUGAUCUGUAAUUAGUGAAAAUUAACAAGUGAAGUGACAAUGUAUCAGUAAUCUCUUCCAAGUGCUACCGUCAGACUUUUUCGCGUGUGUAAAAGUGUCAAACAAAUUAACCCUACUUUUCGGAUAAAACAGUUCACACUUGUUGAGCUGUAAGUUUUCAAGUGACAAUAUUUUUAAUUUGUAAUUGUUUAAGUGCUCACGGAUUCCAUGGAUUAUAAUAAUUAAACAUCAACUCCCUUGGACAAACUUCUUUCAUCUAACAAAAGUAUGGAGGUUCUUCCCGCAGCUCAGGCUGGUGUUGGCAGAUUCCCGUUCCCACCAGAACUGCUAUGGAAAUAUCGGAUGUCAUUCCCACCGCAAAUGGACUUCAGAACCCAGCUGCCUCGAAAAUUAGCAGGAAAUGAUCCCAGACAAUGGUCUAGAGAAAGUGUGGCUUCAUUUCUACAAUGGUGUCAAUACGAGUUCGAUCUCCCACAAUUCAACAUGGAGAAAUUCCAAAUGAAUGGCAAAGCUCUAUGCCUUCUGACCAAAUCGGACCUGGCUGAACGUAGUCCCGGUUCGGGCGAUGUUCUUCACAAUGUCCUUCAGAUGCUGAUGCGCGACUCCAGUUGCACAGUAGAUCCCCACGCUCAGCUAACUCCGCACUUUUCGCCGCACGCCGGAUGGCCACCUCUGCUACAGGGUGGUCCCUUGCAGGGUGGUCCUCCCGCUCAACCGCCUGUUAGCUUUUCGGUCACCCUCAGUCCGGUUCCGCCCAAGGCACGCACUACGUCUGCGGUAAAUGUGCCAAGGGUGACUCUAAGUCCGGCGCCGCCACCUACCAGUCCUUCGCAGCAUGACAGCAUUGGCCAGUAUUCAGGCCUGCGCACCAACGACCGUGAGACACAGUGCCGAUCGCCGCACAGCCCCUGCUCCCCCUCGGCCACCCACCUGUGCCCUCCCGCCUCGUCGCCCAGUCGCAAGGCGGCCGAGCCGCAGCUGUCGCCUGCCGCAGCCGCAAACGCAGCCGCAACCGCAAUGCACAGCAGCUGCAGCAAUACGCCGCCGCACUCGCCCAACAACAAAGUCGGCCACUUCACUGCCGCUGAGUCGGUGUCGCCGGCGCCCGAGACCAAUUCUAACGGAAGAUUACUGUGGGACUUCCUUCAGCAGCUGUUGAACGACUCCCAGCAGCGUUACACGGCCUACAUCGCCUGGAAGAAUCAGGAAUCGGGCGUUUUCAAGAUCGUCGAUCCUCCAGGCUUGGCCAAACUGUGGGGUAUCCAGAAGAACCAUCUGUCCAUGAACUACGAUAAGAUGUCGCGCGCACUCCGCUACUACUACCGUGUCAACAUUCUCCGCAAAGUGCAGGGCGAACGGCAUUGCUAUCAAUUUCUACGCAACCCAAGCGAACUGAGAAGCAUAAAGAACAUGUCGCUCCUGCGGCAACAGGCUGCACAACAGACGACGCAGGCGGCAUCGCAGUACGUCAAAAGUGAGCCGCAGUACGUCAAGAGUGAGUUUCUGAAAAGUGAACCCCAAGACUCAGCCAUAGAUCACGAACAAGAAGAGGAAGACAUGCAACCGACCGAUCUGAGUGUAUCCUCAUCGUCGUCAUCUUGGUCGCAGGAAAAUUGCAAAUCGGAACCAGUCGAAAACAACAACAACACUUUAAACAACAACAACAAUGCAACAAUCAACGGACAGGACAUGAAACUACAGCUGAACAUGUGGACACACGAAAAUGGCAAAAUGAAAAUCAAUUCUCCCACUUCGAGAUUGAACGUACAUGCUAUCAAGGCUGAGGAUAGCUCGUAGUCUAGGUUAAUACAUCUACGGUUAAUAAAUCUACGGUUAAUACAUCUACGGUUAAUACAUCUACGGUUAACAGAUCUAAAGAUCAAGUCUAUAGUGAGAUUCACAUCGAACUUUCAGCAUUCCUUGUAAAUAGCCCCAAUGCUUUCUAUUCAACCAAUGCUGAACGUUUUAAAUGUAUCACACUAUGGCUCACCGUGGCUAUAUACACUCGCUGUGAAUACAGUAACUAUAUAACCAGUGGUUACAGUAACUAGUGGUUAUAUAGUUGUGAACUGUAAUAAAAGAUUAUUCUUGUUUGUUUUGUGAUAAAAAUCGCGUUCUGAUUUUGAGAGAUGUGAAAAUCAUGAAUCACUUUUUCAAAAGUGUGAAGUGGAUUUGUUUGAAGACGUGAUUGUAAGUAGUGUGAAGAUUAUUUAUCACAUUCCUGUAGAAGUGUGAAUAAGAAGUAUUUGAAGAUAUAUACUUUGAAAUAUGCUAUUGUGUUUAUAAUUAUCACUGAUGAAAUUUAUUUGUGAAUAAUCAACGAGAUGUGUUUAAGAAACAUACUUUGAAAGAUUUGGAAUGUGUAUGAAGUUACAUUACAGAUUAGGUAUUAACCCACACAUUUUUAUGAAUGUCGAAACUUGAGGAUACAUUUUUUAAAGACUGUAAAUGCUAGAUGAUUUAUUAAAAAAUAAAACAAGUUUUUUUGAAGAGUUUAAAUUUGAUGUUUUCAAAGAACUAUAAUUUAAAUGAUGUAAAAUGUGUAUGAAUUGUGUAAUUACUGGUCAAACUCAUAUGCAAUGAAACGUUGAAAACAAUAUUCAUUUCAAGAAGCGAUGUCUUGAAAAGGUUGAAAAAAACUUGCUUUCAACAUACAUGAUACAUAGAUCUUAAUGUACAAUAAACUAAACCAUUGUAUCGAUUAAUUAUCUAGUAUUAUAGUAUAUUAUGGUCAUUCGACUUGAAACCUCGUAUGUGAAUGUUUGAGUGUUUAUACGCAUUUCUUAGUUAACUUAUAUCUGAAUCAACUCUUCCAUUCCAAUAGCACAUUCCAUUUUAGCUUGAAAUAAAACUGAAUUGAGGUAAAAAGCUAUAUUGCAAUUGUCUCUACUAUCCACUUAUGAAAUCUACCUGUUUCAUAACAAAUUCUUAAUUAUUUACAUUUAUUUCUAUUAAUUUAAAAUCUUUGGUAGAAAGAGUUUCUUAGCCACUCAAUUGUAAGCUUGUUUGUGAUUGAAAAGUGUGAUUAUGCUGUUGCUAGAUCUUUUUUAUAGUUUAUAUAUUUGUUAAUGAUGUGUUUCCAUUAUAAUGCAAUUAUGAGAAUUCAAUCAUAUUGGAAUUAUUCUUUAGUUAUCGGAGUUACCGUUUUUGAAAUAUCAUUUAUAUCUUUAUUGUAGUCUGUAUUAUUCAACGAAUUUUUAUUAUGUAUUAGUAGAUGUUAGACUUGCUAUGUAUAUUUUUUCUCGUGGCGAUAAUAUGAGAUAGUAUGAGUUGCAAUGAAUCGGACUAUGUGUGAGGGGAAUUAUCCUACAAUGAAGAGAUUGGAGUAUUAUUAUAUUGAGUAUUAAAAUACUGUACCAAGUAAUUAUUAUAAUAAUUUUUCCUACAGUUACGUUGAAAAGUGGCCAUUGCUGCACUGAUUACAGAACGCAAAGAAUCACUUUUCCGCUCUAGUGCGGGAAAAAUUUUUCUGCACUCCAGAUUUGCAACAUGGCAACGCAAAAUACUUAGUAGGUUAUAUGGAGCAACAGUGCAGCAAAAUCAAAAUGAAGUUGGUAACAGUGACUGCUGUGGCUGCUAUAGUGAGCAGAGGUGCAACGAAGCACAACGCGCUAAUUAUUAGUAUUAUAUAUUAUAACGAGGACAGCAACAGCACAGUGCCACCACAGCACACACCACACAGCCGCCUCGCCAUUCAAACACUACUAAGUUAUUUGAUGGAUUUCAGGCAAUUUUACCCAUAAUUACCCACUUUUCAUAUUCAAUGGUAACUGUAGGAAAAACUUAAUGUGAAAUACGUGCGCAAAGUUCCUCUGCUGCACUCAAGAAACCAUUCCGCCCUCGCCUACGGCUCGGGCGUAAACGUUUCUUUCGGUGCAGCAAACUGUCACUUUGCGCACUAGUUGCACAAAUAACUAUUCUAAAAUUCGAUUUCUUUCCAAUACUAUUUUUCCUGUUUGGAAAAUCUCAUGCUACUUUAAUGAAAGUUUCAACUUUCUGUUUCAUUUCUAUUAUAAAAUCUCUCUCACUGACAAUAUUCUAGACAAAAUAUUCUAAUCAAUUAUGUAACAUUAUACAAGUUGAGACUCACACAACAAUUGACACUCUGACUGCUGUAUUCUUGAUGUAUUUUAUCUUAUGAAUAAAUAUGUAGUUCACCUAAAAUACCAAUUCAAAUGGAAUUGAUGUUUUUAUCCUGAUAUACCAAUUCAUUAUAAGAUCUUUCCUCUCAAAUAAACUAAAAACAGUGUAAAAUUAUCUCCUCGGUCCAUCUCGUGCCAUUUCUGACCUUUGUGAAUUCUUUUGAACCUAAACAUUGAAAUGGCAUGAGCGGAUAUUUCUCGUACCUAGCCAUCUAGGGUUUAAUUUAAAAGAAACUGUUGUUCAUCAUUUUAAUGUCAAUUUUGAAUAGAUCAUCGUAUUCUAUUCAGAGUUUACAGAGGAUGAAAGUUCUUCAAAAUUCAACAUUCCAAUCAAAGAUUGAAAAGGGGUGAGUUUUGAAAUUUAUGUUAUUUUUCAUUGCUCUUUAUCAAAGCUUCUCUAGUUUGUUUAAUGUUUUACUAAAAAUAUAUCAGUUUAUUGGAAAUUAUUUCAAUUUUUUAAUUCACGAAAUAAUCAGUGAACUUGUUUUCUUGAAGCUGUACAACAGUUCCCCAAAUUACUUCAUGAAACCUGUUUAGAAUCUUACCUAUAUAAAAUUCUAAAAAUCUAAAAUUAUAAUUUUAAAAUCAAAUCACUUAUUAGUUAAGCACCUAACAUUCCAUUCAUUGUAAUAUAAUAUGUUAUUCACGUCUAUUACCCUUUAAAUAGUGAUAAUAAAAAUACUCCUUCUUUUGAUUUAUUGUGUUCAGAUUUAUUACAAUGAAUUUUGUUUAUAACCUACAAAUAUGCUCAAACAUUUUUGCAAUAAUAAUUAUUAUUGAUACUAUAGUUCUUUAUUAGUCGAUAUAGGCUACAUGUAUAAAUCUAUAUGUUAGUAUAUUCUCUUCAUUGUUCUAUUGAGUUGCGAUUGUUUCAUGCUGUGAACUUCUAUAAAAAUAUUUCAUCCAACGAAUUCUAUUAAAUAUCCUAAUUACGAUCUCCACUUGAUGUAAUUUUGUGUAAAUGAAUUUUUAUUAACACUGAAAAUUGAUUUCUGUUACGUAUGAAUGUGGAAUAAAAAGUUAGAGAUUAUAUUUUGAAAA